rnacentral:rRNA from 1 species
GACGUAGGGUGCAAGCGUUGUCCGGAUUUACUGGGCGUAAAGAGCGCGUAGGCGGCUCGUUAAGUGAGAAGUGAAAGCUGUGGGCUCAACCCACAAACCGCUUUUCAUACUGGCGAGCUGGAGUGAUGCAGAGGUGGAUAGAAUUCCCGGUGUAGCGGUGAAAUGCGUUGAUAUCGGGAGGAAUACCCGUGGCGAAGGCGGUCCACUGGGCAUCAACUGACGCUGAGGCGCGAAAGCGUGGGUAGCAAACAGGA